rnacentral:lncRNA from 13 species
AGGAAGUGGACAGAGGAGGGAAAGUAGCGGUGUUGUCGAGGAUACACGCUGUUUCCCCAGUGGGCAGAAGGCACGGGGGGACGUGGCUCAGUGACAGGAGUCGGGAGAGCGGCCGCCGAGGGAGCGGAGGGUCUGCGUUUGAUGCUUAGAGUUCCCGGAGGCAAACAACGCUUCCAUUCCCCGCGUUUCUGCGCCGCGAACCCUCCACGCCACACGCCACACGCCACGGCUGAAGGCGCGUCACCGAAUGCCUUACAGUGAAUUGGGAGGAAAGAGACGACAGCGGGAGAUGCCCCGCAUCUAAAAUCCUGCCUCUGGAGAGAAACGUGACAUGCGAGUGACUUCCAGAGUGUGAGGAAGGGCUCCCAUUGGUGACUGUACUCUCAUCCUCAUUAGCAGUUCUUCGCUCGGAGGUGUCCACGCCAACUUACACAUCUACAUUGUUCAGAAUUCUUUUGUAUUCUCUCAGACUAUUGUUCUUCAUGAUAUAUGUGGUCUGAAUUCAGGCGAGGGUAUAAUCAGAGAGAUUAUUGGAAUUUAUUGGGAUGCCGACUUUCUGUUCAUGAGGAUAAAGACUAUGUCACAAAUAUACUACAUGUGACAGAGAAGCUUUUAAGAAAAGAAAAACUCAAGGCAUCAGCGAGGAGAAGGAGAGAAGGCAAAAUAGGCACACCCACCAGCGUGGGAGAAACCACGUCUGUAGCCCUGCAGCCAUCACAGACAAAACUUCCAUAUUCGCUGAUUGCCCAGCAUGUGAUCACACAGCUCUUCCCUCUGCAAGACAUGACAGGGAAUGUGACUUGUUUGAAUGCAUUGCUACUAUAAAUAAAAUGGAAUUUCUACUAGUGAGGAAGAGCUAAAAUA